GCUCAGAUUGAACGCUGGCGGCAGGCCUAACACAUGCAAGUCGAGCGAGAAAGGUCUUCGGGCUGAGUACAGCGGCGGACGGGUGAGUAACGCGUAGGAAUCUACCUGGUAGUGGGGGACAACAUGGGGAAACCCAUGCUAAUACCGCAUACGCCCUAAGGGGGAAAGCGGGGGACCUUCGGGCCUCGCGCUAUCAGAUGAGCCUGCGUAGGAUUAGCUAGUUGGUGAGGUAAAGGCUCACCAAGGCGACGAUCCUUAGCUGGUCUGAGAGGAUGAUCAGCCACACUGGAACUGAGACACGGUCCAGACUCCUACGGGAGGCAGCAGUGGGGAAUAUUGCGCAAUGGGCGAAAGCCUGACGCAGCCAUGCCGCGUGUGUGAAGAAGGCCUUAGGGUUGUAAAGCACUUUCAAUUGGGAAGAAAGGUUGUACGUUAAUAGCGUGCAGCUGUGACGUUACCUUUAGAAGAAGCACC
rnacentral:rRNA from 1 species